rnacentral:rRNA from 1 species
CCUACGGGUGGCAGCAGUGGGGAAUCUUGCACAAUGGGCGAAAGCCUGAUGCAGCGACGCCGCGUGGAGGACGAAGGCCUUCGGGUUGUAAACUUCUUUUGUAGGGGAAAAUAAUGAUGGUACCCUAUGAAUAAGCCACGGCUAACUCUGUGCCAGCAGCCGCGGUAAGACAGAGGUGGCGAGCAUUGUUCGGAAUUACUGGGCUUAAAGGGCGCGUAGGCGGUGGUGCAAGUCUGGGGUGGAAUUCUAUGGCUUAACUAUAGGACUGCCCUGGAAAGUGCAUUACUUGAGUGGGUGAGGGGAAGGCGAAAUUCCGGGUGUAGCGGUAAAAUGCGUAGAUAUCAGGAGGAAGGCCUGUGGUGAAGACGGCCU